rnacentral:rRNA from 1 species
UUAUCGGGGGAACACUCGG